rnacentral:rRNA from 1 species
UACGGAGGGUGCGAGCGUUGUCCGGAAUCACUGGGCGUAAAGGGCGCGUAGGCGGCGCGGGAAGUCAUCGGUGAAAGCUCAGGGCUCACUCUGAGUCGGCCGGUGAUACUCUCGUGCUUGAGCACUGUAGAGGCAGGUGGAAUUCCGGGUGUAGCGGUGGAAUGCGUAGAGAUCCGGAAGAACACCGGUGGCGAAGGCGGCCGCUGGGCUGAUGGCGUGACACUGAGGCGCGACAGCGUGGGGAGCAACAGGGAUUAAGA